AGAAAGAGACAGAGAGAAGCGUUCUCAAUAAAAGGCUCGGCAGCAUUCUACUACUGCUUCUCUCAGUCCCUCAGAGAAAAAAAGGAAAUCUUCAUCGCCAUUAAAAUCAGAGACUGGAGACGGUAAAGAAAAGAAUAAUCUAUGGAGGGAGACGCAGGAAAAGAUUUGGCAUGCCAGAAGAUUAUGGGUGGGAAGGUGACUAAAGAUAAUGGUCUGGCAAGGACUAUCCCUUCUUGUUGCCUGAAAGCAAGGGCCUCAGCACCUGAACUUGAAGCAAAAUGCCACUCCACAGUCGUUUCUGGGUGGUUUUCAGAACCUCGGUCUUGUUCUGAUGGGACUGGCAACCUGCUUUAUUACAACAAUCCUAUGUGGCCUGGGGAGGCACAUUCUCUUAAAGUAGAGAAGAUUUUAUACAGAGGCACAUCAGAGUACCAAGAGAUCUUGGUUUUUGAGGCCUCAACUUAUGGAAAAGUACUCGUGCUUGAUGGUAUAGUUCAGUUGACUGAGAAAGAUGAAUGUGCCUACCAGGAGAUGAUAGCUCACCUUCCACUUUGUUCGAUUCCAUCUCCUAAAACUGUCCUGGUUGUAGGUGGUGGCGAUGGUGGGGUUCUCAGGGAAAUUUCUCGCCAUAGCUCUGUAGAGCACAUUGAUAUUUGUGAGAUAGAUAAGAUGGUGAUAGAUGUGUCUAAGAAGUUCUUUCCAGAUUUAUCUGUUGGAUUUGAGGAUCCUCGUGUCCAACUUCAUAUUGGUGAUGCUGCAGAAUUUUUAAGGAAUACACCUGAAGGGAUGUAUGAUGCAAUUAUUGUGGAUUCAUCCGAUCCUGUGGGUCCUGCUCAAGAAUUAGUUGAAAGGCCUUUUUUUGAGACGGCAGCAAGGGCAUUAAGGCCUGGUGGUGUUCUUUGUAGCAUGGCAGAAAGUAUGUGGCUCCACACACACCUUAUUCAAGAUAUGAUCUCUAUUUGCCGUGAAACAUUCAAGGGUUCUGUUCGUUAUGCUUGGGCUAGUGUUCCUACUUAUCCAAGUGGUGUGAUUGGAUUUCUGAUAUGCUCAACGAAUGGACCACCUGUUGAUUUUUUGAAUCCUAUUAAUCCCAUAGAGAAAGUAGAAGGAGCUAUUAAGUUCCGGAGGGAACUCAGGUUCUACAACUCAGAGAUGCAUUCAGCUGCCUUUGCCUUGCCGUCAUUCGUUAGGAGGGAAGUGAGUGUUCUUCAUGACUCCCAAUCUUCUGUACAGGGAAUCUGCGCGUCGUAGCCUAAUCUAUUGGCAAAUCAUUCCCCAUUUAUCUUUUUAGUAGAUGGAAAUGCAGGUCUGUUACAAGGGCAGUCAAUAUAACUAUUUCAACUUACUUACACCGCUAGUGUAAAUGUCAUGACCUAUUUGAGAUCCUACAAUAUUCUUGUUAUGUUUUUUGCAUGUGAAACUGGAUUUGUUU